GACGAACGCUGGCGGCGUGCUUAACACAUGCAAGUCGAACGGAAAGGCCUAGCUUGCUGGGUACUCGAGUGGCGAACGGGUGAGUAACACGUGGGUGAUCUGCCCCUGACUUUGGGAUAAGCCUGGGAAACUGGGUCUAAUACCGGAUAUUCAUUUUUCCUCGCAUGGGGAUUUGUGGAAAGCUUUUGCGGUUGGGGAUGGGCCCGCGGCCUAUCAGCUUGUUGGUGGGGUAAUGGCCUACCAAGGCGACGACGGGUAGCCGACCUGAGAGGGUGAUCGGCCACACUGGGACUGAGACACGGCCCAGACUCCUACGGGAGGCAGCAGUGGGGAAUAUUGCACAAUGGGCGCAAGCCUGAUGCAGCGACGCCGCGUGUGGGAUGACGGCCUUCGGGUUGUAAACCUCUUUCAGCUCCGACGAAGCGCAAGUGACGGUAGGAGCAGAAGAAGCACCGGCCAACUACGUG
rnacentral:rRNA from 1 species